rnacentral:rRNA from 1 species
CCCAAACCAAUAAAGUUUUCUUUAUUGGGGUUGCGGACAUAUCAUAACGAAGAGGUAUCGUAAUUGAAGAGGUUUGGAAAGACCCACCACAGAAGGUAAUAGUCCUGUAUGUUAAACGAGAAGACUUCAGAUAUGAUCCAGAGUACCACGGGACACGUGAAACCCUGUGGGAAGCAGGAGGGACCACCCUCCAAGGCUAAAUACUACCUAGUGACCGAUAGCGUAUAGUACCGUGAGGGAAAGGUGAAAAGAACCCCGGGAGGGGAGUGAAAUAGAACCUGAAACCCUGCACUUACAAGCUGUGGAAGCACAUUUCUUGUGUGACCGCGUACUUUUUGUAGAACGGGCCAACGAGUUACGUUAAGUAGCAAGGUUAAGCACUUAAGGUGCGGAGCCAUAGCGAAAGCGAGUUUUAACUGAGCGUUCAGUUACUUGACGUAGACCCGAAACCGGGCGACCUACCCAUGAGCAGGAGGAAGCGAAAGUAAAAUUUCGUGGAGGUCCGAACCCACGAGCGUUGAAAAGCUCGGGGAUGACUUGUGGGUAGCGGUGAAAUUCCAAUCGAGCCCGGAGAUAGCUGGUUCUCCCCGAAAUAGCUUUAGGGCUAGCCUCAAGGUGAGAGAUACGGAGGUAGAGCACUGAAUGUCCUAGGGGGUAUUGCACCUACCGAAGACUAUCAAACUCCGAAUGCCGUCAUCUUAUACUUGGGAGUCAGACUGUUGGUGAUACGAUUCAUAGUCGAAAGGGCAACAGCCCAGAUCGUCAGCUAAGGUCCCUAAAUGUAAGUUAAGUGGUAAAGGAUGUGGGAUUGCACAGACAACCAGGAUGUUGGCUUAGAAGCAGCCACUCAUUCAAAGAGUGCGUAAUAGCUCACUGGUCGAGUGAUCCUGCGCCGAAGAUUUCCGGGGCUAAA